UAUUAGGUUGGUGCAAAAGUAAUUGUGGCUUUUGCCAUUACUUUUAAAUAAAUGGCAAAAACCGCAGUUAUUUUGCGCCAACGUAAU
rnacentral:miRNA from 1 species